rnacentral:lncRNA from 1 species
GCCUGAGUAAAAAAUAAAUGAAAAAGCUUAUGUUCCUUAUUUUUUUCCAUCACAGAGCAAAUAUCUGGUCUUGUGAGCAGGAACUUGAAAGUUAUGCAAUUUCUGGUGUGGGUUUACAGAGAACACUGAGGCUGUAGCCACCUUAAAGUACAGUAUAUAGCCAGUAAGGAACUAGUGUGACUAUAAAAUAAUCAGCAACAUCUACGCAUAUAAAGGACAUUUUGAAUCACAUUCAAUGACUUAGACAAUAUUGCUCCGUACAUGGUGUUCAUGUACUUAGUCUGUAACACAAUAUGACAAAUAGGUCACCAUAUUUCUAAUGACAAUUCUGUUAGUAAAGUCAGCUGGACAUAUUAUAGACUUGGUUACAAAUUGUAUGCGAAAAGCCCAAGAAGAAUCUUAUGGGAUUGCUUGCUGCUCAUACAUUUCUACUCCCUCCACAACAAAAUCACGUGAGAUAUUUUGUUUCUGAACCUGGACUGCUACGUUAUCUCAAGUGUACAGUGAGAUAACAUUGGUCUGGGGUGGGCCCUAUUUCUAUAUAUAUAUUUUUUUUGUGUGUAGGGUGGUCAUGCAUCAAUAAGCACUUAUGGACAGGAGUAAAUUAAACAUAAUUCCAUACUGACUAAAUGCUUAUCAGUUUACAUUAACAAAAUAAUUAUUUAAUUAGUAAAAAAUGUACAGUACACCCUGUGAGGUACUAAUAAAGAAUAUAGAAAUAAAUAUAAUUUCCAAACAUUGUUAGAUGGAGUGUGGUGUGUUUUUUAUGUUUUUAAAAAGAGGCAUUUACAAGAAACCUUAAAAUGUGACUUUGCAUUUGUCAAGUUCCUAUAUUUCACAAUAAAUUUAAGGGAACUUGAAAUUUUUGUGCCUCACGGAUCACAUUGGCCACACACUGAUCUUCACACUCAUCUGGUCAUGACGCUCAACAAGACAUGUCCCCUGGGGAACUCCACAACAGCAUGCGAACCAACGUCUGGAGGUUUAUCUCUGGCACUAGGUUUGGGUCUCCCUCUGUCCAUCUUGCUGGUAGUAGUAAUGGUGCUGAUUUUUACCCAGCGUAGUAAGCUGAGGAGUUUAUGGACAUUAGAUCAACUCAAAAGCACAGAGGUCGACACACGGAAACCUGAGGGUUCCCAAUACACGCCCAUGGUCAGACCACUGCCUGCCUCUGAUCAUUUUCCUAUCUACGAGAACUAUACUGACUCCAGAUACAGGAACAGGUCGACCAAUGAACCCGGGGACAUAUACCUGCAGUGUGAUUCACAGGAUGACGCAAUUUACAGCAAUGACCCGUCGUGUAGCCUGGCCAUACUACCUCCUGAGGGGGACGACGACCUUUAUGUAAUGCCAGACACUUUCCAGGCACAGCCGUGGUGA